UACGAAGGGGGCUAGCGUUGUUCGGAUUUACUGGGCGUAAAGCGCACGUAGGCGGAUUGUUAAGUUAGGGGUGAAAUCCUGGAGCUCAACUCCAGAACUGCCCUUAAUACUGGCAAUCUAGAGUCCGGAAGAGGUAAGUGGAACUCCUAGUGUAGAGGUGGAAUUCGUAGAUAUUAGGAAGAACACCAGUGGCGAAGGCGGCUUACUGGUCCGGUACUGACGCUGAGGUGCGAAAGCGUGGGGAGCAAACAGG
rnacentral:rRNA from 1 species